GACGAACGCUGGCGGCGUGCCUAAUACAUGCAAGUUGAGCGAUGAAGAUUGGUGCUUGCACCAAUUUGAAGAGCAGCGAACGGGUGAGUAACGCGUGGGGAAUCUGCCUUUGAGCGGGGGACAACAUUUGGAAACGAAUGCUAAUACCGCAUAACAACUUUAAACAUAAGUUUUAAGUUUGAAAGAUGCAAUUGCAUCACUCAAAGAUGAUCCCGCGUUGUAUUAGCUAGUUGGUGAGGUAAAGGCUCACCAAGGCGAUGAUACAUAGCCGACCUGAGAGGGUGAGCGGCCACAUUGGGACUGAGACACGGCCCAAACUCCUACGGGAGGCAGCAGUAGGGAAUCUUCGGCAAUGGACGAAAGUCUGAACGAGCAACGCCGGGUGAGGGAAGGAGGUUUUCGGAUCGUAAAACUCUGUUGGUAGAGAAGAACGUUGGUGAGAGUGGAAAGCUCAUCAAGUGACGGUAACUACCCAGAAAGGGACGGCUAACUACGUG
rnacentral:rRNA from 1 species